rnacentral:rRNA from 1 species
GGGUUGUGAGGUUAAGCGACUAAGCGUACACGGUGGAUGCCCUGGCAGUCAGAGGCGAUGAAGGACGUGCUAAUCUGCGAUAAGCGUCGGUAAGGUGAUAUGAACCGUUAUAACCGGCGAUUUCCGAAUGGGGAAACCCAGUGUGUUUCGACACACUAUCAUUAACUGAAUCCAUAGGUUAAUGAGGCGAACCGGGGGAACUGAAACAUCUAAGUACCCCGAGGAAAAGAAAUCAACCGAGAUUCCCCCAGUAGCGGCGAGCGAACGGGGAGGAGCCCAGAGCCUGAAUCAGUGUGUGUGUUAGUGGAAGCGUCUGGAAAGGCGCGCGAUACAGGGUGACAGCCCCGUACACAAAAAUGCACAUGCUGUGAGCUCGAUGAGUAGGGCGGGACACGUGGUAUCCUGUCUGA